rnacentral:rRNA from 1 species
AACGAACGCUGGCGGCAGGCCUAACACAUGCAAGUUGAACGUGAAGCCACUUCGGUGGUGGAAAGUAGCGCACGGGUGAGUAACGCGUGGGAAUUUACACUUCAGUACGGAACAACAGUUGGAAACGACUGCUAAUACCGUAUAAUGACUCCGGUCCAAAGAUUUAUCGCUGAAGGAUAAGCCCGCGUCUGAUUAGCUAGUUGGUGAGGUAAAGGCUCACCAAGGCGACGAUCAGUAGCUGGUUUGAGAGGAUGACCAGCCACACUGGAACUGAGACACGGUCCAGACUCCUACGGGAGGCAGCAGUGAGGAAUAUUGGACAAUGGGCGAAAGCCUGAUCCAGCCAUGCCGCGUGAGUGAAGAAGGCCUUCGGGUUGUAAAGCUCUUUCAAUCGUGAAGAUAAUGACGGUAGCGAUAGAAGAAGCUCCGGCUAACUCAG